UAGUUCGGAUUGUAGGCUGAAACUCGCCUACAUGAAGCUGGAAUUGCUAGUAAUCACAGGUCAGCAUACUGUGGUGAAUACGUUCCCGGGCCUUGUACACACCGCCCGUCACACCAUGAGAGUUGAGAAUACCCGAAGCCCAUGUCAAAGUGGUCGAAGGUAGGCUUGAUGAUUGGGGUGAAGUCGUAACAAGGUACC
rnacentral:rRNA from 1 species